GACGAACGCUGGCGGCGUGCUUAACACAUGCAAGUCGAACGGAAAGGCCCUGCUUUUGUGGGGUGCUCGAGUGGCGAACGGGUGAGUAACACGUGAGUAACCUGCCCUUGACUUUGGGAUAACUUCAGGAAACUGGGGCUAAUACCGGAUAGGAGCUCCUGCUGCAUGGUGGGGGUUGGAAAGUUUCGGCGGUUGGGGAUGGACUCGCGGCUUAUCAGCUUGUUGGUGGGGUAGUGGCUUACCAAGGCUUUGACGGGUAGCCGGCCUGAGAGGGUGACCGGCCACAUUGGGACUGAGAGACGGCCCAGACUCCUACGGGGGGCAGCAGUGGGGAAUAUUACACAAUGGGCGGGAGCCUGAUGCAGCAGCGCCGCGUGCGGGAUGACGGCCUUCGGGUUGUAAACCGCUUUCGCCUGUGACGAAGCGUGAGUGACGGUAAUGGGUAAAGAAGCACCGGCUAACUACGUG
rnacentral:rRNA from 1 species